AGUGAACGCUGGCGGUAGGCCUAACACAUGCAAGUCGAACGGCAGCACAGUAAGAGCUUGCUCUUACGGGUGGCGAGUGGCGGACGGGUGAGGAAUACAUCGGAAUCUACUUUUUCGUGGGGGAUAACGUAGGGAAACUUACGCUAAUACCGCAUACGACCUACGGGUGGAAGCAGGGGAUCUUCGGACCUUGCGCGAUUGAAUGAGCCGAUGUCGGAUUAGCUAGUUGGCGGGGUAAAGGCCCACCAAGGCGACGAUCCGUAGCUGGUCUGAGGGGAUGAUCAGCCACACUGGAACUGAAACACGGUCCAGACUCCUACGGGAGGCAGCAGUGGGGAAUAUUGGCCAAUGGGCGCAAGCCUGAUCCAGCCAUACCGCGUGGGUGAAGAAGGCCUUCGGGUUGUAGAGCCCUUUUGUUGGGAAAGAAAAGCAGCAGGUUAAUACCCCGCUGUUCUGACGGUACCCAAAGAAUAAGCACCGGCUAACUUCGUG
rnacentral:rRNA from 1 species